UACAGAGGGUGCGAGCGUUGUCCGGAAUCACUGGGCGUAAAGGGCGCGUAGGUGGCGCCGCAAGUCCAUGGUGAAAGCUCGAUGCUCAACAUCGAGUCGGCCACGGAGACUGCGGGGCUCGAGCACUGUAGGGGCAGAUGGAAUUCCGGGUGUAGCGGUGGAAUGCGUAGAGAUCCGGAAGAACACCGGUGGCGAAGGCGGCUCACUGGCCCGGUACUGACGCUGAAAUACGAAAGCGUGGGGAGCAAACAGG
rnacentral:rRNA from 1 species